AUGUCGCGGGAGCAGAGGACCAAAAGCACUGCUCCCGCGACGCGACGUUCAGUCCGCACUCCUUUUCCGUCCGGCAAGGAACCCGCCUGCCGUGCCACGGAGUUCCGCCUAAGAUGUGGGUCGGACGGGAACGCCCUCGGAUCCGCUCAUUUUCGCUGUCUUGUGAGAGGCGGCGUACAGAGGAAGAAUCGAGCAGAGAAGAAAAGUGGAGAGCAUGGGUCUAGAGUAUGCUCGCGAUCCCCGAGCAAGGCACUGAGCGAGCCGGAGCGAGGAUGAAGAGAGCGCCUCCACGCGAUCCUAAGAAAUACCCGGAUUGAGCAGGCAGUUGUGGGCCUGGUUCACAAGUGAGAUAAGAAGACCGAAGCUUAGAGUUGCUAAGUUGUGUGCCCAACGAUCCCUGGUGGGAAACUCUAGGGACUAGUUUUGAACUCAAGUUUCUUGCCCCUAGAGUCACAUUUAGAAAAGAAGAAGAAUGGGGGUGAGGCGGGAAAGAGAUUGGUUUAAGCAACCGGCAAGAUGUUUGGGAUUGUGUUUGUGAUAAAUACGUAGAGAAUUGGACCGGGGAUUUAGCUCAGCGGCGCCGCGCCUGCCUCACAAGCGCAAUGUCCUUCCUGAGUUCGAUCCCCGGUACCAAAAAAAGACACAUUCAGUUAUUAUAUACUAUGACAAAAAUAUAGUUUCUCAGGUAACUUCAUAAUGUUUGGGACUCUGGUAAUGCACACACACACACACACACACACACACACACACAACUAGGCAAAAGAAACACUCAGUUAAUUAAAAAGGUAAAGUAGUAAAUGGUAACUGCAUGGCUUAGUUUUGGAAAGGUUCCGCAUAAUCCCGACAGUCAUGUAGCCGACAUUUUGGCCAAGAACAACUGGAAAAGUGAGAGAGAUGCAAAGAAUAUGUAUGUAUAGUGAAAACAGAAGAUAGGAAAGAGCCAAAUCUUCACCCUCUAUGGACAGGAGUCAACCAAUAAUACUAAAAUCAAAAAUUUGCCAAGCAUUGCCUUGUCUACAGUUCAAGGAGCUUCAAAAAGAAACAGCUAAAAGACGUACCACUGGGUAUGGUGUUUGCAUUACUCUCUUUUUGUAACACCAUGUAGAAUUCUUAAAUCUAUAUGCUUGUUUAAUUUUAAUAAAAAUGAAAACAAAAAAGCCCAUAUGUCUAUCAAGAAAUUACAAAUGCCCUUUGAUUCAGCAAUGCCCCUUCUAGGAAUUUCCUUAUAAAUGACUUGGCAAAACUAUGGAAUACAAGGUUAUUCAUUAUGGCAUUAUUUAUGGUAAAUGAUUGUAAACAAAAAAGGGUCUGGAUAAGUCAACUCUUGCAUUUAUACAAAGGAAUACUAGUCAGCCAUAAAUAGGGAACCAAAAAAAAAAAAAAAAAAAGGCUUGUCAGGGAUUUAGCUCAGUGGUGCCACGCCUGCCUCACAAGCGCAAGGUCC
rnacentral:lncRNA from 1 species